rnacentral:rRNA from 1 species
ACAGAGAGCUUGCUCUCGGGUGACGAGCGGCGGACGGGUGAGUAAUGUCUGGGAAACUGCCUGAUGGAGGGGGAUAACUACUGGAAACGGUAGCUAAUACCGCAUAACGUCGCAAGACCAAAGUGGGGGACCUUCGGGCCUCAUGCCAUCAGAUGUGCCCAGAUGGGAUUAGCUAGUAGGUGGGGUAAUGGCUCACCUAGGCGACGAUCCCUAGCUGGUCUGAGAGGAUGACCAGCCACACUGGAACUGAGACACGGUCCAGACUCCUACGGGAGGCAGCAGUGGGGAAUAUUGCACAAUGGGCGCAAGCCUGAUGCAGCCAUGCCGCGUGUAUGAAGAAGGCCUUCGGGUUGUAAAGUACUUUCAGCGAGGAGGAAGGCGUUAAGGUUAAUAACCUUGGUGAUUGACGUUACUCGCAGAAGAAGCACCGGCUAACUCCGUGCCAGCAGCCGCGGUAAUACGGAGGGUGCAAGCGUUAAUCGGAAUUACUGGGCGUAAAGCGCACGCAGGCGGUCUGUCAAGUCGGAUGUGAAAUCCCCGGGCUCAACCUGGGAACUGCAUUCGAAACUGGCAGGCUAGAGUCUUGUAGAGGGGGGUAGAAUUCCAGGUGUAGCGGUGAAAUGCGUAGAGAUCUGGAGGAAUACCGGUGGCGAAGGCGGCCCCCUGGACAAAGACUGACGCUCAGGUGCGAAAGCGUGGGGAGCAAACAGGAUUAGAUACCCUGGUAGUCCACGCCGUAAACGAUGUCGACUUGGAGGUUGUGCCCUUGAGGCGUGGCUUCCGGAGCUAACGCGUUAAGUCGACCGCCUGGGGAGUACGGCCGCAAGGUUAAAACUCAAAUGAAUUGACGGGGGCCCGCACAAGCGGUGGAGCAUGUGGUUUAAUUCGAUGCAACGCGAAGAACCUUACCUACUCUUGACAUCCAGAGAACUUAGCAGAGAUGCUUUGGUGCCUUCGGGAACUCUGAGACAGGUGCUGCAUGGCUGUCGUCAGCUCGUGUUGUGAAAUGUUGGGUUAAGUCCCGCAACGAGCGCAACCCUUAUCCUUUGUUGCCAGCGGUCCGGCCGGGAACUCAAAGGAGACUGCCAGUGAUAAACUGGAGGAAGGUGGGGAUGACGUCAAGUCAUCAUGGCCCUUACGAGUAGGGCUACACACGUGCUACAAUGGCAUAUACAAAGAGAAGCGACCUCGCGAGAGCAAGCGGACCUCAUAAAGUAUGUCGUAGUCCGGAUUGGAGUCUGCAACUCGACUCCAUGAAGUCGGAAUCGCUAGUAAUCGUAGAUCAGAAUGCUACGGUGAAUACGUUCCCGGGCCUUGUACACACCGCCCGUCACACCAUGGGAGUGGGUUGCAAAAGAAGUAGGUAGC